UCAGAUAUGAUGUAGCUGGAAACAUGGCCUCGUAAUUUGAUGCAGAAUUCGAUCACGUCAUAGAGGCAGUCCUGGGUUCGAAUUCCAGUAUCUGAA